rnacentral:rRNA from 1 species
UACGAAGGGUGCAAGCGUUAUUCGGAAUCACUGGGCGUAAAGGGUGCGUAGACGGUUUGUUUAAGUUUGUCGUUAAAGACUCUAGCCUAACUGGAGGGUUUGCGAUGAAAACUGGCGAGCUAGAGGAUAAGAGAGAGAAGUGGAAUUCCUGGAGUAGCGGUAAAAAUGCGUGGAUCUCAGGAGGAACACCAAUGGCGAAGGCAGCUUCUUGGCUUAUUCCUACGUUGAGGCACGAAAGCGUGGGGGAGCGAACAGG